rnacentral:rRNA from 1 species
GACGUAGGUGGCGAACGUUAUCCGGAAUCAUUGGGCGUAAAGGGUGCGUAGAUGGCAUAAUAAGUUAUUAGUGGGAAAUCGAGGCUCAACCUCGUGGAAGCUGGUAAUACUGUUUUGCUUGAGUGCAGAAGAGGUUAACGGAACUCCAUGUGGAGCGGUAAAAUGCGUAGAUAUAUGGAAGAACAUCAAUAACGGCGAAGGCAGUUAACUAUUCUGUUACUGACAUUGAGGCACGAAAGCGUGGGGAGCAAAACGG